rnacentral:rRNA from 1 species
UACAGAGGUCUCGAGCGUUAGGCGGAAUCACUGGGCUUAAAGCGUGUGUAGGCGGAUCGUUAAGUACCUUGUGAAAUCCCACGGCUCAACCGUGGAACUGCUUGGUAUACUGGCGAUCUUGUGCAACCUAGGGGCGAGCGGAACAGAUGGUGGAGCGGUGAAAUGCGUAGAUAUCAUCUGGAACGCCAAUGGUGAAAACAGCUCGCUGGGGGUUUGCAGACGCUGAGACACGAAAGCCAGGGGAGCGAACGGG